GAGUUUGAUCCUGGCUCAGGACGAACGCUGGCGGCGUGCUUAACACAUGCAAGUCGAACGGAAAGGUCUCUUCGGAGAUACUCGAGUGGCGAACGGGUGAGUAACACGUGGGCGAUCUGCCCUGCACUUCGGGAUAAGCCUGGGAAACUGGGUCUAAUACCGGAUAGGACCACGGGAUUCAUGUCCUGUGGUGGAAAGCUUUUUGCGGUGCAGGAUGA
rnacentral:rRNA from 1 species